UACGUAGGGGGCAAGCGUUGUCCGGAAUCAUUGGGCGUAAAGAGCGUGUAGGCGGCCAUGUAGGUCCGGUGUGAAAACUCGAGGCUUAACCUCGAGAUGUCAUCGGAAACCAUUUGGCUAGAGUGCGGGAGAGGAGAGUGGAAUUCCUGGUGUAGCGGUGAAAUGCGCAGAUAUCAGGAAGAACACCCGUGGCGAAGGCGGCUCUCUGGAACGCAACUGACGCUGAGACGCGAAAGCGUGGGGAGCAAACAGG
rnacentral:rRNA from 1 species